CAAGUCGUGGGGCAGCAUGGUGUAGCAAUACACUGAUGGCGACCGGCAAACGGGUGCGGAACACGUACGCAACCUUCCUUUAACUGGAGAAUAGCCCGGGGAAACCCGGAUUAAUACUCCGUAACAUUAUGAAGUGGCAUCACUUUAUAAUUAUAGCUCCGGCGGUUGAAGAUGGGCGUGCGUCUGAUUAGGUAGUUGGCGGGGUAACGGCCCACCAAGCCUACGAUCAGUAACUGGUGUGAGAGCACGACCAGUCACACGGGCACUGAGACACGGGCCCGACUCCUACGGGAGGCAGCAGUAAGGAAUAUUGGUCAAUGGACGCAAGUCUGAACCAGCCAUGCCGCGUGGAGGAUGAAGGUCCUCUGGAUUGUAAACUUCUUUUAUUUGGGAAGAAACCCCCGAUUUCUAUUGGGGUUGACGGUACCAGAUGAAUAAGCACCGGCUAACUCCGUGCCAGCAGCCGCGGUAAUACGGAGGGUGCAAGCGUUAUCCGGAUUCACUGGGUUUAAAGGGUGCGUAGGCGGGUUGGUAAGUCCGUGGUGAAAUCUCCAAGCUUAACUUGGAAACUGCCGUGGAUACUAUCAAUCUUGAAUAUAGUGGAGGUGAGCGGAAUAUGUCAUGUAGCGGUGAAAUGCUUAGAUAUGACAUAGAACACCCAUUGCGAAGGCAGCUCGCUACACUAUUAUUGACGCUGAGGCACGAAAGCGUGGGGAUCAAACAGGAUUAGAUACCCUGGUAGUCCACGCCCUAAACGAUGAUUACUCGACAUCAGCGAUACACUGUUGGUGUCUGAGCGAAAGCAUUAAGUAAUCCACCUGGGAAGUACGACCGCAAGGUUGAAACUCAAAGGAAUUGACGGGGGUCC
rnacentral:rRNA from 1 species